GACGAACGCUGGCGGCGUGCUUAGCACAUGCAAGUCGAACGGUGAAGCGCCUUCCUUUUUGGUGGGUGUGGAUGAGUGGCGAACGGGUGAGUAACACGUGAGUAACCUGCCCCCUUCUUCUGGAUAACCGCAUGAAAGUGUGGCUAAUACGGGAUAUUCUGGGUCUGUCGCAUGAUGGGUCUGGGAAAGAUAUUGUUUCGGUGGGGGAUGGGCUCGCGGCCUAUCAGCUUGUUGGUGGGGUGAUGGCCUACCAAGGCGGUGACGGGUAGCCGGCCUGAGAGGGUGGACGGUCACACUGGGACUGGGACACGGCCCAGACUCCUACGGGAGGCAGCAGUGGAGAAUAUUGCACAAUGGGCGCAAGCCUGAUGCAGCGACGCCGCGUGAGGGAUGGAGGCCUUCGGGUUGUGAACCUCUUUCGCCAGUGAAGCAGGCCUGCCUCGUUUGUGAGUGGGUUGACGGUAGCUGGAUAAGAAGCGCCGGCUAACUACGUG
rnacentral:rRNA from 1 species